rnacentral:lncRNA from 1 species
AUUCAAGGUACAUUAUUAGGAUAGAUCAUUGAAUCCUCAAGAAAGGGCCCCCACCAUUAGGUUUACCGAUUCAAGGUUCAUCAUUACAUUAGUUCAUAGACUCAUCAUGAAGGGCUACCACCAUUAGGUCUACCGAUUUAAGACAAAGCCUUAGAAUACUUCAUUAAUCAUUUAUGAAAGGGCUACCACCAUUAGGUCUACCGAAUCAAGGUACAUUAUUAAUUACAUGAAAGGGC